rnacentral:rRNA from 1 species
CAGUCGCCGCGGUAAUACGAAGGGGGCUAGCGUUGUUCGGAAUUACUGGGCGUAAAGGGCGCGUAGGCGGCCAUUCAAGUUAGAUGUGAAAGCCCUGGGCUCAACCUAGGAAUUGCAUUUGAUACUGUUUGGCUUGAGUUCGGGAGAGGUGAGUGGAAUUCCCAGUGUAGAGGUGAAAUUCGUAGAUAUUGGGAAGAACACCAGUGGCGAAGGCGGCUCACUGGACCGACACUGACGCUGAGGCGCGAAAGCGUGGGGAGUAAACAGGAUUAGAUACCCCCGUAGUCCCUGUCUCUUAUAA